UACAGAGGUGGCAAGCGUUGUUCGGAAUUACUGGGCGUAAAGGGCGCGUAGGCGGUCUUCUAAGUCUUGUGUGAAAUCCCUCGGCUCAACUGAGGAACUGCACGGGAUACUGGAAGACUUGAGUUCGGGAGAGGGAAGCGGGAAUUCCGGGUGUAGCGGUGAAAUGCGUAGAUAAUCCGGAGGAACACCGGUGGCGAAGGCGGCUUCCUGGACCGAUCAC
rnacentral:rRNA from 1 species